GCGGAUGUAGCCAAGUGGAUUAAGGCAGU
rnacentral:tRNA from 14 species